rnacentral:rRNA from 1 species
AUGUUGGCCAUCUUCCAGAAGCAGGUGGCGCACGCGCCGCAGGAGCUCAACAGCCCGCGCGGCAGCACCGCCAAGCCCAGGAACCCCGACGAGAUCCUCCGCGACUUCCACGCCGCGCACCCCGCCGACGCCUUCUCCACCUCCUUCGGCGGCGGCGCCGCCCUCGCCUGCGUCGCCGCGCAGCCCCGCUCCCUCGCCGCCGGCGGGUACCAGCGGAUGUUCUGCGGGCUGGACGACAUCUACUGCGUGUUCAUGGGCACGCUGGACAACCUGAGCAGUCUGAUGCGGCAGUACGGCCUCACCGGCCGCUCCACCAACGAGGCGCUGCUGGUGAUCGAGGCCUACCGCACGCUGCGCGACCGGGGCCCCUACCCGGCGGACCAGGUGGUGAAGGACCUCUCCGGCUCCUUCGCCUUCGUCGUCUUCGACAACCGCGGCCGGUCCGGGUCGGGGGCGGCGGUGUUCGCGGCGCAGAGCACGGACGGCGGGGUGCCGCUGCACUGGGGCGUGGCGGCGGACGGGUCGGUGGUGAUCUGCGACGACCGCGGCGUGGCCAAGGCCGGGUGCGGGCGGUCGUACGCGCCGUUCCCGCCCGGGUGCAUGUUCCACAGCGAGGGCGGGCUCAAGAGCUUCGAGCACCCCAUGAACCGCCUCAAGGCGCUCCCCAGGGUGGACAGCGAGGGCGUCAUGUGCGGCGCCAACUUCAAGGUCGACGCCUUCACCAAGAUCAACUCCAUGCCCCGCGUCGGCAGCGCCACCAACUGGGCCGCCGCCUGGGACGACGCCGCCAUCUGA